AUCAGACAAACACGAACUUUACGUAAACACUAAAUAUUAAUGAGACAGAAGCAGAAAGCAUAUUCUAAAGGAAAAAAAAGCAACGCAGCCCAAGCACGCUCCUGGUUGUUGAGUCAAUAAGGAGAAGGCGCGCAAUGUGGAGUGGGAAUGUGCUCAAUACAGGAGGGACUGCGUGGCCACCUCUGCCGCUAAGGCAUCUCCUGCAGAAGGACCUAAUUGAACACUGCCUGAGAGACCAAGGAUUGCUGACACAGACAAUGCCAGCCAAUCAGGGCUGCUGUUGUGCCCCCUUUGGUUGCUUCUUCAGUGAGUUGGUCUGGCAAAGGUGAGCACACGGACCUCAUUUCUAUCUUCUUUUUCUUUUUCUUUUUCUUUUCUUUCUUUUUUUUUUUUUUUUCUUUUUUUUUUUUUUUUUUUUUUUUUUUUUUUUUUUUUUUUUUUUUUUUUUGCCUGUUCUUCCCUGUGACUGUCAUACUUUCACUUUUGGUCUGGGUUCAAGGAUGAGCAUAUGACUUCCAUCUUUUCUGUCCUCUUUGUCUGCUUUCCCUGGCAGCCGACAUACUUUCACUUUUGGUCUCAGUUCGAGGGUGAGAGUGCAGACAUCUUUUCUGUCUUUUUUGUCCACUCAUUUUCACUUAUGAUUUGGAUUCAUCCAGGUACCUGACAUAGGGACUGGUUUCCCAGGCAGUGGUACCAGGGAUGGUCUCCUGAGCUCCUUUCCCAUUCCCGGAACACGGUGCAGGCAUAGGGCCUUUGAGCUACACAUGAAGGAGUCCCUUGCUUAGUACAACAUUUUCAUCACCUCAUCUGUCAUAACUGUUCAUCGUUUGUUUUCUUUGCUCUUGUCGGUGUAAGUUCCCUCCUCUCCACUAUCAAGGAACCCCAUAGGGCACCCAAAACCCUUCUGGUUACCCGUGGUUUAAAGGUUAAAACUCAUGACAUGGACCAAUUUUGGGAGGAGGCCGCAAUUUUGGCCCCCUGGAUAUCCCCAGAGAACAUGUAGGACCCUGACCUAUGGAUGCGUGUUCUCUUCCCACAGGCUCAAAAUACAGUCUGGGAUUAUCCCUCCCUUGUUCUUUGUUCCCACUCUCCUGCAGUCAUCACCAGUCUUAAGAAUUCUUCCCCAGAGGAAGUGGUGGCCACUCACAACAAGGACUGCCAGGAUCAGGCUAAUAUUCACCUUUCCAUUACUGACCCCAUCCCACUUUCUCCAGAAAAACAGGAUGAUCUCAAGGAUGAAGAUGAGGGUGCCUCUGCUUCAGCCCUCAGGCUCCAAGCUGUCCUCUAGUCCUGCUGUCCCAGGUCCCCCACUCACUAGCCCUUCCUCUCCUGCCCCAUCGGAGUUAACCCCAGCUUAAACCCAGCACGAUUUAGUGGGAUUUUGUCUUCCAGCGGUCACUUCUGCGAUGCCCCAUCCCUUGUGCUGGACUGGGGGGCUUCUGGGGGGCCUCAGUCUUCUCAGGUACAUUGUGAGUCCUUCCCUGUCAAUCUUGACCCUAAUGCAGUGACUAGGCCCUGGAUUCCCACUCCUCGGGCAGACUUGGCACUAAUCAGAAAAACUGCCAAUGAUUCUGGCUCAGAGUCCCCUUAUUUUGAACAGGAACUGAAGCAAUGGGCCAUGCACCUCCAGACCUAUUAUGAUUGGUAUAAUCUCCUGAAGGCAGUGCUCGACCCCUCUGUGUUUCUUAACUGGAGGUCUGCAUACUGUUGAUGUGUUUAAGAAACAGGCUAGGAUUAACCGGAAUAUAAUCUUAACAUCUCCUUUGGCAUGCUUCCCAGUCACGGACCAGAAGAAAACCAGGACUGAGAGAUAUAAUGUCCAUACUUUUUUAUUCAUUUUUCUUCAGCCUAGGAGGGCCAAUGAGCUCUUGGCUUUAGUGUCCCUGCCCCCUGUCCCUUUACCUGUGGCAGUUAACUCCCCAGCCUACCCUGUUCUUUUCUCUUCCAAUGCAAGUUUGGGUUUGCCUUUCAUGGACUUAGUUACUUCCACACAACAAUUAGAAAGUACCUGGCCCACGGAGGAAAUUCUCUGCUUUGCCACCAAUGUCUCCUCAGUUGACCCUUGCAUCCAACUACACAAUAUGACCAUAGAGGACUUCCAUGGUAAUCUAACCUAUGGCACCAUGUUAGGCAUGGAAAUUCACAUUCCACUUACUAAAUACAAAUCCCCAAAAGUUCCUCCAAGCAUAUCAUGUCCACUGCUGCCUUGCUGUCCAAGGGUCACUCAAAUGCCCACUUUCAUGGGACUCCCUAUCCCUUGAGAGCACUGCCCGCCUGCACUAGGUAUAAAAUUAGCCAAGGACUACCCAAUAUUGUCAUCUAACCUCACACUUCACAUGUGAUGCUUCAAUAUUACUCCCUAUGUUAACAGGGAUCCCAUUAGAAUCCAGUAUGACCAAUAGUAUGAGCUAUUGGGAUUUAUGUGGCCCCCUCUAAUUGUCUUGAUUUACCCCCUUAGUCGCCUAAAAGGUGGCCAUCUCUCUAAUAGGACAUAUUUCCAUAUAAACCAAUCAGUGAAAAUGUGGACUGGGGCUGGUCCUGUGAAUGUGACCAUUGGCAGCCAGAGUGGCUGGAAAGCCACACCAGUCUGUGUCCAACCUUUCCUUUCUGGUCACCAAUACCUCCAUUGUCAGGGACAGUCUUACCUGCUUUAAUGAGAAAUGUCUCCUGACCAUCUGCUGGAUUCAGUAUUCAACAAUGGCCAUCCUGAUGAGGGAACCAGCCAUCAUUUGCAUGCUUGUGGUAAAUAACACUCACUAUCAUGCAGUCACUCUGAUAGCCCAGACUCACAACACCUACACUGGUAUUAUAGCUGCCAUCAUCGCAGCCAUCACUGCAGGCAUUGACAGAGCGACAACAGCUGCUGUUGCUUUGACCCAGACAACCACUAGGGCAGAGACUGUCAAUGCUGUUGUCUCUAAGUCAGCUAAGGUGUUACAGGCACAGGAGGUACUAAAUCAACAUCUUUAUCAAGCCAUCCACUUUUACAACAACAGAUUGACUGAGUGGCAGAAGAGUUGGCCCUGGUUAGGGACAUCUCUCUAUUGGCAUGUGAUCCCAGGUUUCACUCAAUCUGCCUAACCCCUUACCAGGUAUAUAACACCACUGAAGCCCAACAGCAGUUGGGCUCAAUAUCUUGAUGGUCUCUGGUCAGACAAAUUCCUUAACUGUUCUGUGCUGCUAAGGGAAAACAAAACCAACCUCAAUAUGACCAGGGUGUCUGUGCUCUCCCUAGAUAACCUCAAUGUGACCAGAGUGUCUGUGCUCUCCCUAGAAGGCCUCAAUGUGACCAGGGUGUCUGUGUUCUCCCCAGAUGCCAGACUCUUGGGAAAGGCUGUUUGACCCCUUGUGGAUAGCCUCUUGUGAUAUGAUGGGAGGAAUUGUCAUAUUAAUAAUUAUUUUGUUUAAGUGUCUCACACAGCAUAUCUCCAGGCAAUGCUCCAUAAAUAAGGCGGCCCUCCAGGUGCUGAUGGCUCUUGAAAAUCUCAGUUUUGGCCUCCCUAAGGAAGUGAUCAAAGCCUGGAUGGCAGAGAUCUGUGAGACCACCAUGUUGGCUGUUCCUCAUCUCCCUCUUGUGUGGCAUGCCUCCAGAGUGCUAUUUCUUUGAGGGCUGGUAGUCAGUGAUGGGUAAGAUUCUGGAAGACAGGAGAACCUGAGACAGGCACAGUUCAGUAUACUGGGAAUCCUCUGCGGGUUGGAUCAACAAUAUCAAGGCAAUGGCACCCCAGCUCCCACU